rnacentral:tRNA from 1 species
UUCAGACCCAGAGAAGAGUA